rnacentral:tRNA from 1 species
UUUAAUAUGGCAGAUUAGUGCAUUGAAUUUAAGCUUCAAUUAAAAAGACUUACCUCUUUUAUUAAAA